rnacentral:rRNA from 1 species
UACAGAGGGGGCAAGCGUUGUUCGGAAUUACUGGGCGUAAAGGGCGCGUAGGCGGCCUGUUAAGUCGAACGUGAAAUCCCCGGGCUCAACCCGGGAACUGCGUCUGAUACUGGAUGGCUUGAGUUUGGGAGAGGGAUGCGGAAUUCCAGGUGUAGCGGUGAAAUGCGUAGAUAUCUGGAGGAACACCGGUGGCGAAGGCGGCAUCCUGGACCAACACUGACGCUGAGUGAGCGAAAGCCAGGGGAGCAAACGGG